UGUUCCUGCAUAGUUGGUGUCAGAGCUUGGUGGCUCUCCGUUGGCAUCAUGCAGUUAUACUAAUAAACCUGGACGUUGGCCCAUAACCUUUUCUGUUUUAGAAACUGGGUGGACCAACGGCCUGGACGACACUGACAGGUGGGUAUCAGCUCAUUUCAAAUGCUGCAUGCAUGGUGGCUUUGUUGGAAACUCGAAAACCUGUUCCCUGCAUGGUCUAUCAGAAUAUCAUAUCCAGCCGGAAAUUGGAUAGACAACAGCCUAUACGACAGCUGCAUCUACAAACUCUAUUAUACAUCAGACUGAAUGAAAGCCUCACUGCGACUCUGUAUGCUGAAAUCUACAAUGACAUUUAAGGAUUCUGUUUCCGUGUAGUAAGAGGCUGGCACUGGAUUCUUGUUGCUGUCAAUCUCCCAAAGAAAACUGUCUAUGUUCUUGACUCCCAGUCGCCAAUUCUCUCACCUUUUACUGAGCAGGCAACAUGCAUGCACAAGACAUUAAUCAAUUCUUAAGCAUGUGCAUUUGAUCACCUGCAAAGAUGGAUAUACAGUGGCUGCUCAGGAUGGAGUUGAAUGUGGCAUUCAUGUGAUACACAAUAAUUAUUAUGACAAUGGUCAAGUUUUCUGGACUACCUGCAUCAAAGCACCUGCAAAAGUCUGUAAACACUGCUGAAUUACGUGGAUUGAUCCUGUUAUCAUGCUACUCCACUCAACAAAGACAUCUCACGGAGUCAGAAGGAGUAAAAGGGUUGCUAAUACAGAUCUGCAGACUGAUGAUGAUGCCAGUGUAUAUCUGUUAAGAAGACAGCAAAAUCGAAGCCUUAACUGCUAUUUUUACUUAACAUUAAUUGUAUAGCUUGUAGUAUAGCUCAGAAUGUUUAUUUUUUAUUGUAUAUAAUUAUGUGCAAUAAUAUAGUUACUAGUUUCCCUCAUAUAGUUUCUCAUCUGUUAUUCCCCAUGCAUAUAAUAUGAUUGUGUUGUGUGUAAUUUC